UGAUUGGUCGCAGGCCUCCCUGAAAGCAGGCAUAGCAGACUGUCGGUUUGAACAUGCAGGGGGGGUGACUGGAGGGGAUCAUUUCCAUGGACCAUCUGUCUCUCUGGCUGCAUUCACAACAAAGAAGGACCCAGGAUGGUGUUAGUCCAUGUCGGAUAUCUGGUUCUCCCCGUCUUCGGCUCAGUUAGAAACAGAGUAUCGAGGCUGGCUCUACAUUCCGCAUUUCUCAGACCUUUGUCCCCCUCCAUUGUGUAGCUAACGAUCAUCUGCUGCUGUCUGCCGUAUAGCCUCUGCCUGUUCUCUGCAUCUAGCUGUUAUUGUGAACCCCUUCUUCCUCAUUUCCUCUUUCCAUCUGAAGAAGACAUUGGCAUUAAAAAACAAACAAACAAACAAACCGAGUUCCCCCCACUCAUACCGUAUCCUUCUAUGUAACAGACUAAAGAAUAACACUUUCUGUAGAAAACAGUUUGUCUUUAUUUAAACUGUCAUGUUGCUCUUUAGUGAAUAACCCAUUAUUGUAGACUUUACUACAGGCUGUCAUUGUGAUUCUUCCCAUUCAGUGUGGAUAGACUACAUUCUGCUGUAAAUUUCUGUAAAGUGGAUACAUUUUGAUCCUCCUGGAUUCGAUUACAGCCAGGCUUGAUCGAACUGUAUGGUUACUGUCUCCAUCCUGUAUUUGGAUAAAGGUGCAUUGUACCAGCAUAUUUUUUUCUUUAACUCAUUUUAUAAUUUAUGCAUUUACUAAUUGGUCAAAAACAUUCGUAGAGCUGGGGAAAAUCACGCCAGUUUCUAACGUAUUAUUUUCACCUCUGAUGGUCCACUGCACCUGUUAAAGUGAUGUCCAAACAGCCGGUCAUAACCCUUAUCCAUGUGUCAAAGCCUGUGUUCCUGCUGGCCGAAUUGAUUUCACAAUAAACCGGCGAGACACAUUUUCUAGCUCGUCUUGGGGGAGAAAAAAAAAUAACCCACUGUCAUGCACAACGCCCCUCCUCCUUCUCGAGUCUUUCCUCCAGAAUGCUAUCCAUUUUACAGAGAUGUGUAUAUCCUGCACUGCUGUAGAACUCCUUUUUUUAGAGUCAAAAUGUCUUUUUUUAUUCUUUGGUUGUGGUUUUUUCUACCUUAUGUUUUUGAUUUGAGUUCUUUAUUUUGUAUUAGAACCUAAUGCAUGGUCAUUUUUAUACCUUUGUUUUUUCCACAUUGAACAGCAGAUUCUAAUGUACUCUUUGUGUAGAGAUGUCCCUGCUGUACUGAAAUGUGCUGUAAGCAUUACACAUCUACUCAUUGGAUGCUGCUUCUGUUUUGUUAACCCUAUACAGAAAGCAUGGUCAGGCCUCACUUUUUGUCAAAUUUGCAUGUUAUUAUUAUUAUUAUUAUUAUUAUUAUGGCUAUGUAGGACAUAUAUAAUACUCUUAUUAUUACUAUUAUCACACAGUGCCACACGUACUAAUAUUUUCCAAUAAAGACUGUAGUUCUCUUCCUAA